AUGCCUGUUUUCUCUUUUCAGUUGGAGAGAGGCGAUUUCCUCUCAGAAGAGUGGAGGGAGCGAAUCGCCAACACGAGGUAUGGCCGGCAUGGGGCGUGCGGGGCAUGUGGGGUAUAUGCUCACGGGCGGGCAGUGGCCAUGGCACUGGAGUCCGGGAACGGCCCCUCACUCCUGCGCUGGCUGUGUCAGGAAAGAGGCCGGUGGGGACAGGAAGGGCGCCUUUCCCUCACCCUGGGUCUCCCUCUGAGGGUGCGCAAAGCGGACAUGCCCAGCAGAUGUGCCCAGCAGAGCCCCUGUCAGCCCCUGCAGACCCUGCUGGCAGUGAGCCUGUUCCUGCUGCCCUAUCCCCUUGACUUUCUCGCCUGGGUUCCUGGGCCUCCUCCCCGCUCAGGCUUGGUCUGGGGGUCUUCCUGUCUCCGUGCGUCCCUCCUGGAGUGGCUGGCCCCCACACAGUGUGCACAAUGGUCCCAAGCCAUCUUGGCCCCCUCCUUGGCUCCAGGCCCAGGAGCUCAGGGCACUGUCCAGGUCCCUCCCCACUGCCACCUGUUUGUCCUGGUGGCUACCUUGUGCCUGUCCUUCCUUGCCAGCCUGCCUCUUCCCUUCCAGCCCUCCCCCCCUGUCCUCCCUCCAUUCCCUCCUUCCUCCACCAUUCUCUCAUCCUCUCCACCUUCAUUCCAUCCCUCGUCCUCCCUGCCUCUCAUCUUCCCCACACCCCUCCUUCUCUCUGCAUUCCUCUUCUUCCCCAUGCCCCUUGUCCUCCCCGCACCCCUUGUCCUCCCUGCCCCCUCGCUCCUGCUGUCUUCCCUGUGCUUUUCUUCCUCUCGGGUGUGCUCAUGGCUUAUGGUUAAGUGUCCCCCAUGGAAAGGGUUUGGGGUACAAGUAGAAAAUGGGGGUUUUUUUUCCCAAAAGGUUCCUAGGUUUGCUCUUCUGUGUGAACUUCUAUUUGGGUUGGGGCACUGUGCCCACCGGCGGGUGUUCUGCCAUCUGGAGGGCAUCAUGCUGACCCUGUGGUAUCCCCAUCCCAUGGAGUGGUGGUGGGAGCACAGGGGGACCUGCAGUGGUCAGGCCGUGAUUGCUGUCUUGUAA
rnacentral:lncRNA from 1 species